AAUGAGGAGUCUUUUCUUCAAUGUUGGUCGAAUCUACUCUCACUUUUAAUAGAGAAAAAUUGCUUUGCUAAACCCUAACCGUCCUGCUCCUGUCAACUUCCCCUCUCCGAUUUCUCAUUUCUCAUCUUCUCACUAAAACUAUCUCGAAGUUUCUUAUCAAUGGCGAAGAAAAAAGAAGCUGCAAUUGAGCAAUCUGGAGGGAUAUUUACUAAGUUAUCAAAUUCCAGCUUUUAUGAGAAUCUACUUAAUUUUUGAAAUUAUUAGGAUUUUAUUAUUUAUUCAGGUCUCAUCUAGAAUUGUUUAUGCAAUUUUAAUCUGAGUUGUUCAGAUCUUACACUAUAAAGUUUUAUGCGAAUCUAGGUUUGUAAAAUUUGAAUAGCGGAAGCCACACAAAACAACCGCCGCCUUACGCCUUAUGAACCAAAUGGUUCCUUUAUCUCCUCUUUUAAUCUCUUCAUUUUCCAUUAAUGGCGCAUCUUCGAUUUCUAGGGUUUUUGUUUUGAUCUGAAUUUUAAACUCUUGUUUCCAUACCAUCUGAUUGUUUUUUAUUGUGAUUUUUAGGGUUAGCAAGAAGGUGAAGGUAUAGGCAAAGAUUAGCAAGGUAUCAGAAGAUACAUCAGAGUUUAGAAAAAACAAGGUGUUGGAGUGGAGAAGCAACUGUUGGGCAUUUGAUACCACUAAAUUUGACACCAUUCUCAAAAAGUUGAGUGAUCAACUUCUUUUUUUCCCCUUCUAAUUUCAUCAUCUUUAUUGCUUCUUAUGCUCUAAUUGUUGUAUUUAUGUAUGUGUAUUUGGUGUAUCAUCAAUUUUCAAAGAAUUGUUAUAUAGUUUCGGUAGGCUGGAUCUUUGUCUUAGCUAGAGGGCGGUGGUUUUAGUUGCUGUAGUGGUGGUUAAAGUAGGUUGGUGAGUGGGGAUUAUGUUAGUUGGAGUAAUAUGGGUACAUAGGGAGAUGGCAGAGGGAGUGGUGGGGUGGGUGGGAGGGAAUGAGUUAACUAAGGGUGAGGUAGCUAACGAAAAAGGUGAAAAUAUUUAAUAAUGGGGUAUAUGUAAGUGUGUACUUAAAAGGCUUCCUUUAUAAGUUUGGUGCAACUAUUGUGACAUUUUUAUAAUGAAAAUGUUAUUGCUGCAAAGCUACAGACUAAUGACAUUGAUAAUACACUCCAAGUAGUUUUUUUAAAGUAUAUUGGUCUUUUAUGACAUUUUCAACAUACGUAUCUUUGUGAUUAUUUGAUUAUAUCUUACUAAUGAUCCAUGAAAUUGAUCAUUUGUUAAUCCAUAUAUUGGUUUCCGAAAAAUACAUAACAUACAAUUGAGUUUCACAAUCAAUACCAGGUGUUGAGGUUCAAAAAUUGUGAUUGAAAUCUCAGAUCUUGUUUUCUUUCCGUGUAAAAUGUUAUUGCUUCAUAGAUUUUGUUGCAUGGACACACCAGGAGGAUGCAUUGAUCGGAGCAGAAUUGUCUAUGUUUGAAAAAGGUGUAGCUCAAAGUCAAUCUUUUGAUGAAGUAAGUAUGGUAACUCCUAACGAAGCUAUGUUCUAUUUAGAAUGAGGAUAAUCAGUUAGUUUCACAUAGCUACUUAUUGUUGUAUUGUGAAGCAACUUCUUUCCGUUCCUUAUCUCCCAUGGGUGUUUCCUUAUUAUAUCGGCAGUACUUUAACUAUUCCCUUUGGGUUUUCCCUUUAUAUACUUCUGGAAAGUUUUAUCGCCAAAUGUUAGCAAACAGUUGUAAGUACUCUACACUUUAGGUGUCUCUUCUUCUGUGGGAUUUGGAUGUUGGUCAAAUAUUUAGAAGUGGGUGAGUGAGUGAUUGAUGAUUAACCCAUGUUCGGUGAAUGAGUAAGAAAUGGCUAUAUAUUCUUUAGUAGCUACUUUUGCUAUAUAACUGUUAUAGGUUUCGUAGAAUUUUUAGUGACAUAUGUUGGGAAGUAUAAAAUCAUUUUUAAAAUCCCAAGUACAAAGUUCUGCAGUCUUAACAUCCUGAUAUGUCUCUAAUUAAUUUCUCAAUGCUCAUCAUAUGUUUCAUAGAAUUUUUAGUGCGUGAAAUUUGCCAUUAGGUCUUAAAUUGAUGUUGCAUAUUGCAUUUAGGAUACUUCAUUACUUUAGAGUUAGUGUUCACUUAAUGUUUUACUUGGGUAAGGAUCAAUAUAGCCGAAUGAACAGAUAUUUAUUCUUCAUUCAACUUAAUAUACAAGUAAGUAAAUUAGAUAACUAGAUAAGUGUUGGUGUUUAUAUUUUACUUGAGCACAACAAAGAGAGUGUGAUGUUAUUUCUGAUAAGUUUCUCCAUUGUGUUAUUUUGUUAGUAACCUAAUGGGAUUGCAUGAUAUGCAAUUUUAGAGCUAAUGCUAGCAGCGUGCAGGUGCAGCUAAAAGUUUCAAGGUUCAAGAUGAUGGUGAAGGAAAAGAUGCUGGUGAAGGAAAAGAUGCUGGUGAAGGAAAAGAUGCUGAGGAUCCAUUAAAUUAGUACAACUCGUAAAUCUAUUAAUGAUUUGAAAAGGCCUUGUAAAAGAUAUAUUUCUUUUGUUAUGUUUUUUUUUUGUAAGGUUUGAAGAAGUUGAUAAUAGACCUUAUCUAAUUGACUUAUUUUAUUUGUGAUCGAACAUAAUAUUUUAGUGUGUAUUUAAUCAUUAGUUAAUCAAGACAGAUAUUAAUAUUAUUAUAUAUUCUACCUAAAUAUUUUUUUAUUA